rnacentral:lncRNA from 1 species
AUGUGGACAUUCCAAAGAAUAUUUGAUGAUGUUUUUAAAAGCCUUCAAGCUACAAGGUGGACAUUGGGAAUAAUGGGGAUGCUGCUAACAGAGAAUGAUGAACUUAGGAGACUCGUGAGAAGGUGUAUAGAAGGAGGCAUACAUCCUGCAAGGAGAUCUCACAAAAAGGAAAACCACAAGAGAAGUUGUAGAGAUGGCUGGAGCUGCACCACGGAGGCCCUGGUUCAUCAUUUUUUAGUGUUUAGACUUUGCCGGAGUGUAAAUAAGUGGGUUCAGCCUGGCUGUUACUGCCCCAUACAACACUGAAAUGAUCUUACCCUCAUCCUGGGAAGAUUGAGAGUGUGGGCACAUGUACGUGAAGAUUGCUGUGCCAUAGUAAAUGAUGCCCACGGUCAAGUGGAAGCCACAGGUAGGAAAAGCCUGGAGUCUGGCCUCUGCAGAGUGGAUCUUCAGGAUAGCCACAGCAUAACUAUACCAUUCUGGAGCUGAAAAGAACUCAAAGAACCAGUGUGAACCAUUGGAAACAAUACUGAAGUAAGGGCAUUUUAGUUUUGGUUUGACCGUUUACUUGCUGUGUGACCUAACUGGGCUGCUGUUUCAUUA